rnacentral:rRNA from 1 species
ACGAACGCUGGCGGCAUGCCUAACACAUGCCAGUCGCACGAGACCUUCGGGUCUAGUGGCGCACGGGUGCGUAACGCGUGGGAACCUGCCCUUAGGUUCGGAAUAACUCCCCGAAAGGGGUGCUAAUACGGGAUAAUGUCUUCGGACCAAAGAUUUAUCGCCUUUGGAUGGGCCCGCGUUGGAUUAGCUAGUUGGUAGGGUAAAAGCCUACCAAGGCGACGAUCCAUAGCUGGUCUGAGAGGAUGAUCAGCCACACUGGGACUGAGACACGGCCCAGACUCCUACGGGAGGCAGCAGUGGGGAAUAUUGGACAAUGGGCGAAAGCCUGAUCCAGCAAUGCCGCGUGAGUGAUGAAGGCCUUAGGGUUGUAAAGCUCUUUUACCCGGGAUGAUAAUGACAGUACCGGGAGAAUAAGCUCCGGCUAACUCCGUG